rnacentral:rRNA from 1 species
CCUACGGGUGGCAGCAGUGAGGAAGAUUGGUCAAUGGGCGCGAGCCUGAACCAGCCAAGUAGCGUGAAGGAUGACUGCACUACGGGUUGUAAACUUCUGUUAGAAAGGAAUAAAGUGAGGCAAGUGUGCCUUGUUGUAUGUAUUUUAUGAAUAAGGAUCGGCUAACUCCGUGCCAGCAGCCGCGGUAAUACGGAGGAUCCGAGCGUUAUCCGGAUUUAUUGGGUUUAACGGGAGCGUAGAUGGGUGGUUAAGUCAGUUUUGAAAGUUUGCGGCUCAACCGUAAAAUUGCAAUUGUUACUGGCAGCCUUGCGUACAGUUGCGGUCGGCGGCAUUCGUGGUGUAGCGGUGAAAUGCUUUGAUAUCACG